rnacentral:rRNA from 1 species
UUAUUUAUUAAAGGUCUAAUCUGCCCAGUGAGUUUUAAAUGGCCGCAGUAAUUUGACUGUGCGAAGGUAGCAUAAUCAUUAGUUUUUUAAUUGAAAGCUUGUAUGAAUGAUUGGACGAGAAAGAUACUGUCUCUUAUUAAUUUAUAGAAUUUUAUUUUUUAGUUAAAAAGCUAAAAUUUUAUUAAAAGACGAGAAGACCCUAUAAAGCUUUAUAUUUAUUAUUAUUAUUUAGUUUAGGAAUUUUUUUCUAUAUUAUAAUAUAUAUUAUUGGGUUGGGGAAAUUUAAAGAUUUAAUUAAUUCUUUAUUAUUUAUACAUUGAUUUAUGAUUAUAUGAUCCUUUAUUAAAGAUUUAAGAUUAAGUUACUUUAGGGAUAACAGCGUAAUUUUUUUGGAGAGUUCAUAUUGAUAAAAAAGUUUGCGACCUCGAUGUUGGAUUAAAAUUAAUUUUGGGUGUAGAAGUUCACAAAAUUUGGUCUGUUCGACCAUUA